GUGCUCGCUUUGGCAGCACAUAUACUAAAAUUGGAAUGAUACAAAGAUUAGUGUAGCCCCUGCGCAAGGAUGACACGCAAAUAUGUGAAUUGUUCCAUAUUUUU